rnacentral:rRNA from 1 species
AUACGUAGGGGGCGAGCGUUGUCCGGAAUGACUGGGCGUAAAGGGUACGUAGGCGGCUAGGCAAGUCAGAUGUGAAAGGCACAGGCUUAACCUGUGUAAGCAUUUGAAACUGUCUAGCUUGAGUUAAGGAGAGGAAAGUGGAAUUCCUGGUGUAGCGGUGAAAUGCGUAGAUAUCAGGAGGAAUACCAGUGGCGAAGGCGACUUUCUGGACUUAAACUGACGCUGAGGUACGAAAGCGUGGGGAGCAAACAGGAUUAGAUACCCUGGUAGUCCACGCCGUAAACGAUGAGUGCUAGGUGUCGGAGGGAAACCUUCGGUGCCGGAGUUAACACAAUAAGCACUCCGCCUGGGGAGUACGUUCGCAAGAAUGAA